rnacentral:misc_RNA from 1 species
AACGCACAUUGCGCCCUAUGGUAUUCCGUAGGGCAUGCCUGUUCGAGCGUCAUUUACAACCUCAAGCUCAGCUUGGUGAUGGGUGACUGUGGCCCCCCGCGGGCCACUCGCCUCAAAGUCAUUGGCGGCCGGUACGUAGGCUUCGAGCGCAGCACAUUUGCGUCCUCGUGGCUCUCCGAUUGGCUCCCAGAAGCUAUUUCUCAUGUUUGACCUCGAAUCAGGUAGGGAUACCCGCUGAACUUAA